ACUCUACAACGAAAGUAAAAUGAAAGUUGAAUCCGAGCUCCGUGAAAUUGAUCAUUUUGCCACAACCACAGCCGGAUGACCAAACCUUACAUCAGUUUAACGGUCCAUUUCAAACUUCAAACUCAACACCCGAUAUCUGCAGACGCCCUUCUUCCCUGGGGAGCAUACUGGGGAUAAUAUAGCACAUGAGAUGAGAGGUGCAUUAGCAGACUGGGUUUUGAAGGAGGACCAAAAGGUUUGCGUGAUCACCGAUAACGCAUCAAACAUGAUAAAGGCUUUGGAGGUGAAUGGCUGGACGCGGCUUCAGUGCUUUGGACACAGGCUUUACUUUCAGAAAAUACUGUGAAAGCUGGCAACUGGAUCAGCCAUGCAACAGUGUCUGCAAAAAGUUGGUGUGCCACUUCUCACACAGCUGGAAAAAAAGAGUGGCACUUGAGCAAGCCCAGAAGCGCCUCAAUUGUUAAAGCAGAGCUGCAAUAAAAUGUUUGAUUUCUUCUUAUUUAUUGGUGAAUUUAUGUUAAUGUUGAUGACUGACAGAGUUCUCAUCAUUAAAACUGCUGUUUCCACA